rnacentral:misc_RNA from 1 species
CCAAAUCCAAUACCCAACCCCUGUGAACUUGUUUUGUCUGUCUUUGGGGGGUAGAGAGUUGCAAUAGGAAAAUUUUUAAAAGAAGUUUUGUUGUUGUUGCUUUUUGCCCCCCAAAAUAUUUAACUGAAACUACUUUUAAUUUUAUUGGAAUUACAUUAUUAAUUUAAUAAAAAAA